GCAUGGCCGAAUUCUGUUCCAGCUGCUCUGUGGUGGAAACAGUCAGACACCAUGCAACAGUCUCGUCUCAUUUCUGCCAAACAACUGGAUGAGUGCUGCACGAAGCCUAAUCCAACAUAGGAGAAUGAGUACAAUU